rnacentral:ncRNA from 1 species
UAGUUAUGAUCGCUGGCUGAAUACAUAGGUCAGUCGAGGAUAGACGCGGGGAACUGAAACAUCUCAGUACCCGCAGGAAAGUAAAGAAAUUUCGAUUCCCCCAGUAGCGGCGAGCGAACGGGGAACAGCCCAAACCAAGAAGCUUGCUUCUUGGGGUUGUAGGACUGGACAUUUGAGUUAACAAGAAAGACUGUAGCUAAACGACUUGGGAAGGUCGGCCACAGCGGGUGACAGCCCCGUAAGCGAAACAGUUUUUCCUCAGUCUAGGAUCCUGAGUACGGCGGAACACGUGUAACUCCGUCGGAAACCGGGAGGACCAUCUCCCAAGGCUAAAUACUACCUAGUGACCGAUAGUGAACCAGUACCGUGAGGGAAAGGUGAAAAGCACCCCGGGAGGGGAGUGAAAUAGUUCCUGAAACCAUGUGCCUACAAGUAGUCAGAGCCCGUUAAGGGGU